CAUCAUCCUAGAAUUGGAUAUUUCCUACAGUCAGAGCUUACAGAAUCGUUACACCUAAAAUGCAGGAGACAAAGUAUGUGUUGAUGAGACACCUCGGAAUUUCUCAUUCACUGUUUGAGGCUGCCCUGAAUCAAGCCACUCUGAUCUCGUGUUAAGAACACUGUAAUUCUUAGCAUACUUAAGUGUGACCUCAGGAUCUAAUGUCAGGUGAAAGAGAUCUCCAUCCAGGCCCUCAUGGAACAUGAGACAUCUAGAAGACAGACAAUUAUGUUAACUCACAAGAAAAACUGAACAAGCCAAUCUCCCCUAAUCUGCCAUCAUUUCUUUAUGAAGUUGUCAGCCAGAAGAAAAUUGUCAAAAGAAU